UACGAAGGUGGCGAGCGUUGUUCGGAAUCACUGGGCUUAAAGAGCACGUAGGCGGUCGGUCAAGCAUCUUGUGAAAUCCCUCGGCUCAACCGAGGAAUGGCUGGAUGAACUGGCUGAUUUGAGCUGCACAGAGGCGACUGGAACUCCAGGUGGAGCGGUGAAAUGCGUAGAUAUCUGGAGGAACGCCAGUGGUGAAAACGGGUCGCUGGGUGCAUGCUGACGCUCAGGUGCGAAAGCGUGGGGAGCGAACGGGAUUAGAUACCCCGGUAGUCCACGCCGUAAACGAUGGGCACUAGGUUCAGGUGGGUUUGACCCCAUCCGGGCCGAAGCAAAAGUGCUAAGUGCCCCGCCUGGGGAGUACGGUCGCAAGGCUAAAACUCAAAGGAAUUGACGGGGGCUCACACAAGCGGUGGAGCAUGUGGCUCAAUUCGAGGCAACGCGAAGAACCUUAUCCUGGGCUUGACAUGGUUGGAUGCCCUUGGUGAAAGCCAAGUAAGCUGCCUUCGGGUGAAACUACCACAGGUGCUGCAUGGCUGUCGUCAGCUCGUGCUGUGAAGUGUUGGGUUAAGUCCCAUAACGAGCGAAACCCUUGUCUCUAGUUACCAUCGGGUCAUGCCGGGGACUCUAGAGAGACUGCCGGUGUUAAACCGGAGGAAGGUGGGGAUGACGUCAAGUCCUCAUGGCCUUUAUGCCCAGGGCUGCACACGUGCUACAAUGGCUGGUACAAACCGACGCAAGACCGCGAGGUGGAGCAAAUCGGAAAAAACCAGCCCAAGUUCGGAUUGCAGGCUGCAAUUCGCCUGCAUGAAGCUGGAAUCGCUAGUAAUCGCGGAUCAGCUAUGCCGCGGUGAAUAUGUUCCUGAGCCU
rnacentral:rRNA from 1 species